AUUGAACGCUGGCGGCAUGCCUUACACAUGCAAGUCGAACGGUAACAGGUCUUCGGAUGCUGACGAGUGGCGAACGGGUGAGUAAUACAUCGGAACGUGCCCGAUCGUGGGGGAUAACGAAGCGAAAGCUUUGCUAAUACCGCAUAAGAUCUAAGGAUGAAAGCAGGGGACCGCAAGGCCUUGCGCGAACGGAGCGGCCGAUGGCAGAUUAGGUAGUUGGUGGGGUAAAGGCUCACCAAGCCAACGAUCUGUAGCUGGUCUGAGAGGACGACCAGCCACACUGGGACUGAGACACGGCCCAGACUCCUACGGGAGGCAGCAGUGGGGAAUUUUGGACAAUGGGCGCAAGCCUGAUCCAGCAAUGCCGCGUGCAGGAAGAAGGCCUUCGGGUUGUAAACUGCUUUUGUACGGAACGAAAAGGCUCUGGAUAAUACCUGGGGCUCAUGACGGUACCGUAAGAAUAAGCACCGGCUAACUACGUGCCAGCCGCCGCCGUAAUAC
rnacentral:rRNA from 1 species